UACGUAGGGUGCGAGCGUUUAAUCGGAAUUACUGGGCGUAAAGUGUGCGCAGGCGGCGUUGCAAGUCGAGUGUGAAAAUCCCCGAGCUUAACUUGGGAAUUGCGCUCGAAACUACGAUGCUCGAGUGUGGCAGAGGAAGGUGGAAUUCCACGUGUAGCGGUGAAAUGCGUAGAGAUGUGGAGGAACACCGAUGGCGAAGGCAGCCUCUGGGCCA
rnacentral:rRNA from 1 species